UGGGGAAUAUUGCGCAAUGGGGGAAACCCUGACGCAGCAACGCCGCGUGCGGGAUGAAGGCUUUCGGGUUGUAAACCGCUUUCAGCAGGGAAGAUAUAAGACGGUACCUGCAGAAGAAGCCCCGGCUAACUACGUGCC
rnacentral:rRNA from 1 species